AGUUGCAGCAGCAAGGGGCAAGCAUCCGGGAAAAGUACAUUUGCGAGAAGGUUUUCGAUCUCCUCAAAGUUUGUAUAUAAUUUCCUUCAGUAGAAACUACUGUUAGGAAUCAAUAAUUUUUGAUAAUAACAUAAACAUUUUGUAGCAUGUUUUAUUUAGAAUCUUUAUCCAAUUUCAGUUGUAAUUGUUAUACUUCUUGUCUUUGGGAAUUAUUAACGGAUGGGUAUAAUAGGAUGGCUAAUUGUAAAUAUCCAAUGCCAUGUAAUUUUAUCUAAGUGAAGGAUAUUCAACUGAUGCGGUGUAACUAUUCAACUGAUGAAGACUGGGUCAUGUUUCAACUGAUGAAAACCAGGCAUUCAACUGAAGACAAACUAUUCAACUGAUGAUGCUAAGGAAUUCAACUGAUGAGACAGGAACAACAUUCAACUGAUGAAGUCUGUAAUUCGUUCAACUAAUGAAAGAACUCUCAACUGAUGAAGUCAAGAGUAGUUGAAAGUAACCAGAACUUUCAACUGAUGAAGCAAAGAGCAGUUGAAAGUGACUAGAGCUUAAGUCUGACAAAUCACAUGGAUCGAAUUACACUAAAAUAGACAUGGAAGCCUGAUUAGGAAAAUAAAGAAGAAGCAGAAACAUUCUUAUCUCAUGCAAUGCAAUCUGGAUCAAAUCAAGAUGAUGGUCAAAGAUGAAGACAUCUCAGAAAGCAUGCAUAAGACAAAGAUGUGCAGCAUUAUUUUAAAUUAGAGUGUAAUAUGUAUUCUAGUUAAAAGCUUUGUAAAACUUGGAGUAUAUAACCAAGUUAGUAGCAUCAGUUGAACUUGUUCGAAAAACUUGAGAGAAUAUCUGAGAGUUAGAAACUGUUCAAGUGAUGAACCUGCAGCUGUGCGAAUUGUAAUCAAUCUACAGAUUCUUCAAUAUAAAAUCUCACGAGUGGAUCAUUCAAUCCACCCGUAUUUUUAAUACUUGGUGUUUUUUAUCUGUUUGUUGUUUUAAAGUGUUUGUUCUUGAAUCUUUUAUUUAUGUAAAAGAUUGUAUUCAACCCCCCCUUCUACAAUCUUUCUUAUAGUUGGUGUAAAAUAACAAUUGGUAUCAGAGCCAGGUUUCCAACAAACAGGGAAAAAGAUCAACACUCCCAAAGAAAGAUGGGAAAGAAAGAUGCUGGAGUGAAGAUUCCUGUUCUUGACAAAGACAACUACUUUCACUGGAAAGUGAGAAUGCAUCUGCAUCUGUUGUCCAUUGAUGAAAGCUAUGUGAACUGCAUUGAGAAAGGACCUCAUGUCCCAAUGAAGGUCUGCACCAGUAUGGGGGAUGAUGGUGAAGAUAUGGUAGGUAAAAUGGUUCCAAAACCUAUCCAUGAGUAUUCUCAAGAAGAUACUGAAGAAGUGCAUAAGGACAAGAAAACCAUGAACCUUCUGUUUAAUGGUUUGGAUCAAGAAAUGAUUUAUAGUGUUAUUAGCUGCACAAGUGCCAAAGAAAUUUGGGACACCAUCAGGACCAUCUGUGAAGGGAAUGAGCAAGUAAGAGAAAACAAGAUGCAGUUGCUGAUUCAACAAUAUGAGUCAUUCCAUUUCAAGGCUGGUGAAAGUUUGACUGACACAUUUAACAGAUUUCAAAAACUGUUAAAUGGUCUGAAACUUUUUGGAAGAAUAUAUCAAGUUAAAGAUUCAAACUUGAAGUUCUUGAGAGCUCUUCCCAAAGAAUGGAAACCCAUGACAGUCUCUCUUAGAAACACUCAAGAAUUCAAAGACUACACUCUUAAGAGACUGUAUGGAGCUUUGAAAACCUAUGAGCUUGAAAUGGAACAAGAUGAAGAAAUAGAAAAAAUCCAAAAGAAAGGGUAUUUAUCUUUGGCUUUAGUUGCAUCUCUUGAUGAAACUGUCAAGGACAAGGGAAAAUCUCAAGUUGAAGAAACUGAGAAGUUGGUCAAAGAAGAGAGCUCAGAAUCAAGUAAAGGAAAAGAUGUAGCUGAUUCUGAUGAAAAAAGUGAUGGGAUUGAUGAGCACUUAGCCUUCCUGUCAAGAAGAUUCUCUAAAUUGAAAUUCAAGAAGAAUUUCAACCCUGCAAAAUCAUUUAAAUGCAAUUCCAAGCCUGAUAGAAGCAUGGUGGACAGAUCCAAAUUCAAGUGCUUCAACUGUGGAAAUGCAGGUCACUUUGCAAACGAAUGCAGAAAGCCAAAGGCUGAGAAGAGAUCCAGUGAUCAUAUGGACUACAAAAAGAAAUAUUAUGAACUUCUCAAGCAAAAAGAAAGAGCAUUCAUUACAAAGGAUGAUUGGGAAGCUGUAGAUGAUUCUGGAGAUGAGGAGGAGUUUGUCAAUCUUGCUCUAAUGGCCAACUCCAUAGAUCAAGAAGAAAACACUGGAAGCAGCAGUCAGGUAUUCACUACAAACUUAGUAGAGUUAACUAAAGAUGAAUGCAAUGCUACUAUCAAUGAAAUGUCUACUGAAUUAUACCAUUUGCAUGUCUCUUUGAAGUCUCUUACUAAGGAAAAUUGUAGAAUUAAGGAAGCUUACACCUUUCUUAGUGAUAGAAACAGUGCUCUAGAAACUCAAUUCAUUGAGUUUGAGAGACUGAAGAUUGAAUGUCAAACAGCCAAGGAUGAUCUUUUGGCUGUAUUAAAAAGAGAAGAGAUCAUAAGAAAACAGCCAAGGAUGAUCUUUAUAGCUAAAUGGAAAUCUGGGAGAGAUGUUUCCACUAAUAUCAUCAACAUGCAAGGUAGAGAAACCUUUGUGGAGAAUGAAUGGAAAAGGAAUAAGAAAGCUCUUGAGAUCUCUGAGAUCAGUUCAAGUGAUGAGAAUACUGAUGAUGAUCAUCAGUUGAAAAGUAAAGCUUCAACUGAUGAAAGUCAUCAGUUGAACAAAAACUCAUCAGUUGACAAGAAAGUUCUCAAGAAACUCAACAAGAAAUAUGGUCCUGUUAAGAAGAACUUUGUUAAAGGUGAGAAUAAUUCUUCUGAGACUAGUGAAAGUGUUAACAACACUCUUAAUUCCAGUUAUAAGACCAAGAAGAAAUUGGAUGCUAGUGAGCUUAAAUCAGAAGAGACUAAGAAGAAUAAAGGGAAUAGAAAUGGUAGAAUUGGAGUCAACAAGCACACUAAUCACACACCCAACGCCAGUGCUCCUAGGAAAACUUGCAGUAAAUGUGGUAGUGUAAAUCACUUAUCUGCUAAUUGUAAAACUGUGAUUGCUCCUAAUUUAUCAUUGCCUAUUCCUAUGCCAUCUGUUCCUCACAUGAACUUAUCUGCUAUGAACAUGAUGCCUGGUUUAUUGCCUCACAAUUCAUAUUCUCAGCCUAGCAUGCCAUAUAUGUUCAAUCCAUAUUUCAAUGCUUUUAACAUGCCUCAAUUCCAUUCAAAUCUGCAUGGUAUAAACAAUGUAUGCAUGCCUCAAAUGCCUGUGCUUAAGAACAAUGUUGAAAUUCCAAUUUCUCAACCAAAACCCAAGAUUGAACCACUUCAAUCCAAGGGAAAAGUUGAGAAUGAAGGAAAAGCUGCUAAGACUAACAAAUCUGGACCCAAAGCAAUUUGGAUACCAAAAUCAACUUGAUCUGUUAUUAGACAUGUGUGCAGGGAAACCAUAAGAAGAAUUUGUGGUACUUAGAUAGUGGAUGCUCCAGGCACAUGACUGGUGAUUCUUCCCUGCUCACAAAGUUUGUAGAGAAAGCUGGCCCUAUCAUUACCUUUGGAGAUGACAGCAAUGGAUAUACUAUGGGAUAUGGCUUGAUUGCAAAAGAGAAUGUCAUCAUAAAUGAAGUUGCAUUGGUGUCUGGUCUUAAGCACAAUUUGCUUAGCAUCAUCAACUUUGUGACAAAGGAUACAAGGUCAAUUUCACUCUUGCAGCCUGUGUUGUCACCAAAGAAGAUGACAGCAAUGUGGUACUAAUUGGACAAAGAAAAGGAAAUGUGUAUGUAGCUGACUUCAAUUCUGUCAAGUCUGAAUCAAUCACUUGCUUUCUCAGCAAAGCAAGCUCAGAUGACAGUUGGCUAUGGCACAAAAGAUUGUUGUGGAGCCUGUCUGUCAGCAAGGAAAACAAAAGAGAAGCUCUUUCAAAAGCAAAUCCCAUCAGUUGUGAAACCUCUUCAGCUCUUGCAUAUGGAUUUGUUUGGACCAGUCAACAUAAUGUCCAUUUCAAAGAAGAAAUAUUGCUUAGUGAUUGUUGAUGAUUUUUCAAAAUUUACUUGGACUUUCUUCCUGCAUUCUAAGGAUGAAGCUGGGAAAAUCAUCAUCAAUCAUAUCAAGGCAUUAAACAACAAUCCAGAUGUCAAAGUUGGAAGGAUAAGAAGUGACAAUGGAACAGAAUUCAAGAACUCUGUGAUGAAAGAAUUUUGUGAAGAAGAGGGAAUUAUUCAUGAGUUCUCUGCACCAAGAACUCCACAACAAAAUGGUGUUGUUGAAAGGAAGAAUAGGACUCUCAUUGAGGCUGCAAGAACCAUGAUUAAUGAAGCUCAACUUCCAACCUAUUUUUGGGCUGAAGCUGUGAACUAAUUUAAGAAUUCUGUGAUGAAAGAAUUUUGUGAAGAUAAGGGAGUUAUUCAUGAGUUUUCUGCACCAAGAACUCCACAACAAAAUGGUGUGGUAGAAAGGAAGAAUAGGACUCUCAUUGAGGCUGCAAGAACCAUGAUUAAUGAAGCUCAACUUCCAACCUAUUUUUGGGCUGAAGCUGUGAACACUGCUUGCUUCACUCAAAACAUUUCACUAAUUACCAAACCUCAUAAUCUAACUCCCUUUCAACUCUUCAAAGGAAAGAAGCCAACAAUUAGCUUUCUUCAUGUAUUUGGAUGCAAGUGUUAUGUUCUAAGAAAUCAAGGUGAAAAUCUUGGAAAAUUUGAGGCCAAGGCAGAUGAAGCUAUUUUUGUUGGAUACUCUGAUGGAAAAUCAUUUAGAGUAUAUAAUCUGAGAACCAACAUUGUUAUGGAAUCAAUCCAUGUGGUUUUUGAUGAUAAGAAGAUUCAAGGAUUCUCAGAUGAAGGAUUUCAUGAUAAUCUCAGAUUUGAAAAUGAAGGUGAAGGUGAUCUGUAUGACAGUGAUGAUGAUGAUGACAUUAUUCAAAAUGUUGGAAUUAAUCCUGGAAUUAAUAUUCCAACUGAUGACUCUCUGGUGCAAGAAACAACUGCAAUUGGAAAUUCAACUGAAGCAUCAGUUGAAACUACAUUGGAGGGAUCAGUUGAAACACCUCAAGGAUCAUCAGUUGAAAGAAUGUCUCAAAGUUUCAAUCAGUCUAGAAAUAAUGAGAUGUCAAAUUUAGGGGGAGCUUUCCAACAUGGAAACCUGAACUUCAAUAAUGAAGCCACAUCAUCAAGACAAUCACUUCCACCACAAAGAAAGUGGACAAGGGAUCAUCCUUUUGAGCUAAUUAUUGGAGAUGCAAAUGCAUCUGUACAAACAAGAAGAGCAACUCAAGAUGAGUGUUUGUACAGUGCAUUCCUUUCACAGGAUGAACCUAAAGUCAUAGAAGAUGCUCUCAAAGAUGCUGAUUGGGUUCUUGCUAUGCAAGAAGAAUUAAAUCAAUUUGAGAGAAACAAUGUAUGGAAGCUGGUACCCAAACCUAAAAACAGAACAAUUGUAGGAACAAGGUGGGUAUUCAGAAACAAGGUGGAUGAGAAUGGAGUUGUCACCAGAAACAAGGCAAGGCUUGUUGCUAAAGGAUACUCUCAAUCUGAAGGAAUUGAUUUUGAUGAGACCUUUGCACCAGUUGCAAGACUGGAAGCAAUAAGAAUCUUCCUGGCCUAUGCUGCUCAUGCAAACUUUAAAGUUUAUCAAAUGGAUGUCAAGAGUGCUUUUCUAAAUGGUGAACUGGAAGAGGAGGUAUAUGUCAGUCAGCCUCCUGGUUUUGAAGAUCCAGAAUUUCCAGAGUAUGUUUACUUUUUAUUAAAAGCACUCUAUGGACUAAAGCAAGCACCAAGGGCAUGGUAUGACACUCUGUCUCAAUUCUUGUUAGAUAAUCAUUUUUCCAGAGGAACUGUGGAUAAAACACUAUUUUACAGAAAUGUAAUUGGUGCCUUUAUUUUGGUUCAAAUUUAUGUAUAUGAUAUAAUUUUUGGUUCUACAGAUGAGAGACUUUGCAAAAAGUUUGCUAAUCUAAUGAAAAGUCAGUAUGAAAUGAUCAUGAUGGGAGAGCUCACCUACUUUCUUGGUUUACAAGUUAAACAAGUAAAGGAAGGUAUAUUCAUAAAUCAAACUAAGUACAUCUAUGAUUUACUUAAAAAGUUUGAUUUAAUGGAUUGCAAAGAAGCUAAGACUCCCAUGCCAACUGCCACUAAAUUGGAGUUAAGUCCUAAUGAGAAAUCUGUAGAUAUCUCUAAUUAUAGAGGCAUGGUUUGUUCUCUUUUGUAUCUCACAGCUAGUAGACCAGACAUUAUGUUCUCUACAUGCCUCUGUGCUAGAUUUCAAGCUGAUCCUAAAGAAUCACAUCUUAUUGCUAUAAAAAGAAUAUUCAGAUAUCUUAAGGGAACACCAAAUCUUGGUAUUUGGUACCCUAAAGACUCUGGAUUUGAUCUAAUUGGAUAUUCAGAUGCUGAUUUUGCAGGAUGCAAAAUUGAUAGAAAAAGUACAACAGGCACAUGUCAAUUUCUUGGAGAUAGGCUGAUUUCUUGGUUUAGCAAAAAGCAACACUCUGUUUCAACCUCUACAGCUGAGGCUGAAUACAUUGCAGCUGGAAGCUGUUGUGCACAAUUAUUGUGGAUGAGAAAUCAAUUACUUGAUUAUGGAUUAAAUCUCUCAAAAAUCCCAAUAUUUUGUGACAACACCAGUGCUAUUGCUAUAACAGAAAAUCCAGUGCAGCACUCAAGAACCAAGCAUAUUGACAUCAAAUAUCACUUCAUAAGAGAACAUGUGAUGGCUGGUACAGUUGAAAUGCAUUUUGUUCCAAGUGAAGAACAAAUUGCAGAUAUUUUCACAAAGCCUCUUGAUGAAUCCACAUUCACAAGGUUGGUAAGUAAAUUAGGUAUGUUAAAUUUCUCCUAAUUUAUAGUGAAUUUUUCUGUAAUUUGGCAGCCAGAAUUUGACUAAUUUUGAUUUAUCAAAAUUAAGUUAGUUAUAAUUCUGGAUAAAAUGUGUAAUAUUUCAACUGAUGAAAUAGUGAAAUUGUUUCAACUGAUGUUUGAAACAAUACCCUCUUGUUUUGUUUUUCAUUCAACUGAUGACACCAGUUGAAAACGCUUUCAACUGAUCUUCAUCAGUUGAAUAGGAAGUUUAAAGAGGCGCUUAUUUCAUCCGUUGAAAGUAUUAUCAGAUCUGAGCCGUUGAAAUUUCUUUUGUCUCUCACCUACUUUAUACACACGAUCGUGUGUGUAAUUUUUGUAGAGUUAAAUAAGAGUUAUUUCUUCUCAACGGUAAUUUCUCAACCAAUCACAACAAUCUUCUGAGAAAGUAUUUAAGUGUUUUAAUUUAUUUUCAUUUCUUUUCACUUUACUCUUUCGAAUUCACAAACUCCCCUUCUCUCUCUGUGCAAAGAAAGCCUUCAUAUUCUUCAAGCUUUUUACUGUAACUGCAAUGGCGCCAAUGAAGAAAUACUCUUCUCCCACUAACUUCAUCUAUGAGAAGAACAACUUCGCAUCAUUUGUGGACACUGAGGCAGUAGAGGAGAAGGAAUAUCACAAGAUGAUGGAGUUCAUCAAAUCAAGCCAACUGUCUCAUGCCAUGCUCUCAACUCCUACUAUCUACCAUGAAGUUGUGGAAGAGAUAUGGACUACGGCUGAAUUUAAUAGUGAGGAUGACACUAUCUCUUUCUCUCUCAAAAAUACUGUUCAUGUAAUUAACUGUGAUGUUAUGAAUGCAUGUUUUAAAAUUCCUGAAAAUACUGUCACAACUUUGCCUUCUGACAUUCAGUUAGUUAACAUGUUAUAUGCUAUGAAUUAUGUUUUGCCCACUGAUGCAUUAGGUAAAAUUGAGAGGAGAGGUCUUAGAAGAGAGUGGAGCUAUUUGUGUGAUGCUUUUGUGAAAUCUUUUUCCGGUAAAAUUAGUAAUUUAAUGCUAUUACCUCUCAGAUUUUGCAGAUGCUUUACAUGUUUUUAGCUAAUAAGUAUUAUAAUUUUGGUACUUUGGUGAUCCAUGAAAUUGGGGAGAAGUUAGGUGAUAAGGUAGAUAGACUUAGGAAUAUCUACUAUGUUAGAUUUCUAAUGAUGCUGGCUAAUCAUGUUGAUGAUAAGCUAGUCAUCUCUAACCAGGAAGCCAAGCUUCCAAGUUUUGUGCAGGAAAAGAGGGUCUUCAAGAACCUCUUAAGGAUGAAUCUCUAUCCCUCUUUAGAGGUGGUUUACCUGCCAAUCAUGGAGGCUGGAAAGGAAAAAGAGGUACAUGGCUUUCCUAUUACUCCUUCUCAACCCUUACCUUCUUUGCUUUCUGCCAUCAGGGCUGUUGAGGAGGCCCAUCAACAGUCCACACAAGUGGCACAACCAUCAAAAUCCAAAUCUUCCAAACCAUCCUCAGGUGCCUCCCAAAAGGCAUCUGUUGUAAAAUCUAAGAAGCACAAACCUGAGAGGAGUGUGAUUAGAGGAAGUGAGGGGGAGGGAAAGGGUGAAAGUCAAAGAAACCCUGAGGAUAAGGCUGGAGAGAUGAGUGAUAACCAGCCUAGCCACUCUGUAGUCUCCCAAAAGACUGUAGAGCUUAAAAAGGAUUCUACCUCAUCCCUGGCAGCAUCCUCCCAAAAGGAUGUUGCUAUUGAAAAUAGUCCCCAUCCAGGGACACAACAAAAUAGGGGGAGGGACACUACUUCUUCACCUAUAAAAGCCUAUGGGAGAAAGAAGCUCAAAGAUGAUAAGUCAAAGCACUCUGCACACACACAGGCAUCUAUUCUGGAUUUCAUGCCUGUAACUUCUCAAAGUCAGCUUGAUGCGACUCCAAUAAAUGUGGAGUCACAGCCCCCUUCUUCUUCACAACCUAUCUUGCACAUUCAUGAUCUCACUAUAACUACUGCUCAAACACAUUCCCCCACCUCUUCUGUGGAUGUAGAGUUAAUACACACCAUAAUUGUAAAUUCUCCAUCUUUGGACUUCAUGGAGAAGCCCCUCUCUGAGAUUGAUCAUCAUCAUUUUGAUGAUUUGUUGGAUCUUUCUCACCCAAUUUCUUCUACUGUGACAAUGUGUUCUGUGGAUUUACAUUUAAAAUCAAUCACCACAGACUCCACUGUCACAGCUUCUUUGCCCUUUUCUUCUUCAUCUUCAACUGAUCUCCUUCAUCAGUUGAAUAAUAUUUGUCCUUCAACUGAUGUGCUUGACAGCCUUCAUCAGUUGAAAGCAUCUACUACUCAUGGUUCAACUGAUGUCCCUCAUCAGUUGACAACUGCUGCUACUUCAACUAAUCUACCUUUCUCUACAGCAGUUGAUCACAUGGUAGCACAAACACCCCUAGGAUUGAGUGAUGUGAGCUCAGGAGUGGAGAGGCAGCCUUGGGUGCUGGCAAAAGGAGAGGGAGUGGAGAGUCUGGCAAUUUCUUCUAGCCUGGAAAAAGGAGAGGAACUGAGUGGCCCUUUAGAAAGGGUAAGUGAGGGAGAGGUAAGGUGUGUGGUGAGCCAAGGGGAGCCCUUGAUGCAAGAACAGAGAGUAAAUGUGAGAAAUGCAGGUGUCAAUGAAGGGUUUAGUGAGCAAGCUUAUCAAGCUGAAUAUAGAUCCUUAUUGGAUAGUAUGCCACUAGACCCUGAGACUCUUACUCAUGAGAUGUCUGCUGUUCAAGCUUUUGCAAGGAUGGACAACCAAGCAGCUAAGAGGAGUUUAAAUCUCAUUCACACUACAUCAUCCAUGCUUAGAGCAAAGGAGGCACUUGCAGCUCUGCCUGCCAAUGCUGGUGAUGAUUUCAAUUAUGAUGAUAGUGAUGAAGACCUCAAUGAAGCUCUUGAGGAUUCUCUUGGUGAAGAGCCUACAGUCUCUCUUCCAUCUUGGCUCUCCAUUCAAUCUGCUAAUGCAACUGCAGUCAGUCUUGAGUUGCAAUGGCAAGCCACAUCCCUUCUCCAUCCUCAAGCUGGAAGCUCUUCUUCUUCUCCAUCCAUCACUGCUACUUUUGCCAGUCAAGCCCUUGAAAAUCUCAGACUGCACAAGUAUCAGUCUCUCCAUUUCCAGAAAGAAGCUGAACAUCUCAACUCUCUCAUCACAUCUGUUAAAACAGACUUAUCUAACCAGAUUGAUGAGAAGUUCACUACUCAAGUCAAAACUGCACUGUCUACAUCUGAAAAGAAGCAAGCUCAAUUGGAAAAGCAAGUGACAGCUCUGGAAGAAAAUGUUCAAGUUUUAAACUCAAGGAUGGAAGAGAUGCUCCAACACCAAAGCGUGCAAACUGGACUUCUCCAACAUCUUCUUUUGGCAUCUGGCAUUUCUCUUCCCAGUCCUUCUGCUGCACUUGAUGCUAACAAAAAGGGGGAGAAAGAACACUUGCCUUCUCCUGCAGAGUUGGUGAGCAGAAUUCCUCCUCCCUUUCAUACUGCUAAAGAACAGAAGAGGCUUGAAAGACUUGCAGCUUUGGACUCCAUAGACAAGAGAUUGGCUCUGCUGGAUAAGAAAGCUUCUGCAACUUCAAAUUCACAAUCUACAUCUGCAGUUCCAACCUCUUUUCCCACAACAACUACAAUUCUCAGGGUAAUCACACCUGAAAUUGUCAUGCCUUCAAAGAAAAAAAAGGGUGAGCCAUCAUUUGUGAAUGAAUUCAAAGCCACCCUAUUUCCAAAUAGUUGUGGUUAUUCUAGGCCUGGAAAAGACUCAAGUUCAAUCUACUUUCCACCAGUCAGGCCUGACAAGAAUGAGUAUAAGCUUUUGGGCCAAGAAAUUAAGAGCUACAAAGAUUCUACAGAUAUGGCUCUGAAAUCACAUUUUGCCAUCAUCUACAGAGAAGGCCAAAAGCUGUUUAUUGGAACUAGCCAUCCUCACUACUCAUUUGCAAAAGCUGAAGAGGUGGCCAGGGACUGUGAAAGAAAAGAGUAUGAGUCUCAACUCUCUUUGAAUCAAGAAAUAGAGGUUGAUGAAAGAUAUGCUAUUGAGCUUGAAGAGGAGUUGGCAGCUGAACUACAAAGUGAAAAUAGAUUGGCUCUUGAAAAUUCUCCAAAGAAAAAGAGGGUCAAGUCUAGAUCAAAGAUGCCUGAGGCUGCCAAGAGAAGAGAAGAAGUGCCUGAGAAGUCUGUACCUAUCUCAAAACCUUCUUCUCCAAUCAAAGACACCACAGUGAUGCAUCCAGAUGUCAACUUUCAUGAUGAGCCAAUAAUGCCAAAGGAGGAGCCAAUUGAUCUUGACAAUAUUCCAAUCCCAGCCUUCCUUGUUCAAGAAACUCCAAAACCAAAGAAGAAAGUGAAGUCUGUGGCUAAGAGAAUGGCUAACCCUCCAAAACCUCCAAAAGAACCUGAAAAUCCAGAUGACUAUCUUCUCAUUGCCAACAUUGAAGAAAUUUCUGAGUUAGAGCUGUAGUUGAAUGAUCUUCAAGAAGUCAGAGGAAUAGAAGCAACUUCCAAGCUUUCUGAAAGACUGGUAUUCUCAUACAAAAGCAAAGGUGAUGUCAUCUGGCCUCUUCACAGGGUUCUGAGUUCUGAAGGAUUCAGUUCUCUAACCCAGAUUUAUGCUUCCAUGAAGAGGACAGGAGGAUUUACACCACCUGCCAAGCAGAUGGUAUUGAAGAGAAUCCUUGAAAUCAUGAAGGAAUGGUCCUCAGAUGCUAGUCUACAAAGAAGGCUGAAAAUACACUACACUGGAAAGAAAAUUCACCAUGAACCAACUCCAAUCAUGGAGUUUAGGGACAGUCAAGGUGUUAGGAGAUUUUUCAGACCUAAAGAUCAACUCAAAGUUGCUAGCUUGAACACUUUGAAGACUCUCCAAUCCAAGCUUAACAGACAGGACAGUGAUGAAGAAUGGUUCUACAGGAUUUUUCAGAAACAGAUUGAUAUUCUUGAAGAAAAACUUAAGUCCAGAAGAAGAAGAUCUUCUAGGAACAAGUAAUCUGCUCAGUCUAGAGGAGCAUAAUCAUCUGUAAAUUUUUCUAACUCUUGUAUUUAAAUUCUGCAUUUUAUUUUAUUUAUGUUUUGUUAUCAUCAAGUGUAGAAUUUAUGUCUGCAUCUUCUCCAGUCAUAAAUUGGGGGAGAUUAUUAGGAAUCAAUAAUUUUUGAUGAUAACAUAGACAUUUUGUAACAUGUCUUACUUAGAAUCUUUAUCAAAUUUCAGUUGUAAUUGUUAUACUUCUUGUCUUUGGGAAUUAUCAACGGACGGGUAGAAUAGGAUGGCUAAUUGUAAAUAUCCGAUGGCAUGUAAUUUUAUCUAAGUGAAGGAUAUUCAACUGAUGAGAUGUAACUAUUCAACUGAUGAAGACUGGAUCAUGUUUCAACUGAUGAAAACCAAGCAUUCAACUGAAGACAAAGUAUUCAAUUGAUGAUGCUAAGGAAUUCAACUGAUGAGACUGGAACAACAUUCAACUGAUGAAGUUUGUAAUUCGUUCAACUGAUGAGCCUAGCACAACACUCAACUGAUGAAGUCAAGAGCAGUUGAAAGUAACCAGAACUUUCAACUGAUGAAGCAAAGAGCAGUUGAAAGUGACUAGAGCUUAAGUCUGACAAAUCACAUGGAUCGAAAAUCACAUGGAUCGAAUUACACUAAAAUAGACAUGGAAGCCUGAUUAGGAAAAUAAAGAAGCAGAAGCAUUCUUAUCUCAUGCAAUGCAAUCUGGAUCAAAUCAAGAUGAUGGUCAAAGAUGAAGACAUCUCAGAAAGCAUGCAUAAGACAAAGAUGUGCAGCAUUGUUUUUAGAUUAGAGUGCAUUUUGUAAUCUAGCUAAAAGCUUUGUAAAACUUGGAGUAUAUAACCAAGUUAGUAGCAUCAGUUGAACUUGUUCGAAAAACGUGAGAGAAUAUCUGAGAGUUAGAAACUGUUCAAGUGAUGAACCUGCAGCUGUGCGAAUUGUAAUCAAUCCACAGAUUCUUCAAUAUAAAAUCUCACGGGUGGAUCAUUCAAUCCACCCGUAUUUUUAAUACUUGGUGUUUUUUUUGUGUUUGUUGUUUUAAAGUGUUUGUUCUUGAAUCUUUUAUUUUUGUAAAAGAUUGUAUUCAACCCCCCCCCCCUUCUACAAUCUUUCUUAUAAUUGGUGUAAAAUAACAACUAAGUACAUAAUAUCUGAUUCAUUUUUGGCAAUUCUUUAGGUAAUUGCCUAUAGAAGUUGAUUUUGGUCUGGAUGCAAGAGCUGCUGCUAUAAUUUUUAUUGUAAUUUAUUUUGAGACUAUUGUUGCUGAGUAUUGUACUACUGUUGCAGAGUUUUUCGAGAAGCUGUUACUUUUCCCCAAAUGCAUCCCAAUCCAAUAUCAAUUUAUAAUUCAAAUUCUCAAGUCUGAACAAGGUAAAUUGUACUCUCUCUUUCUCUCAUGUAUGAAACAUAAUUUAAAUUUCAGAUUUAGUAAUCUUUUACAUUUUUAAUCUUGGCCUUCCUCAUUUUUUUGGGUGAUAAUUUAGUGUUGCUUCGUCUUGCAGAUGUUAUUAUAAUUCGACUAAUAUACAUUUUUUUAAUCCAUUAAAAAUAUAUUUCUAAUUGAGUAGCUUUGUACUUGAGAAAAAUAUAUUUUUCAUACUGUUGGGUAUGAAUUUCGGUGAAACAUGAAGUAGCUUUGUACUUGAGAAAAAUAUAUUUUCACACUGUUGGGUAUGAAUUUUGGUGAAGAUAUGUUGUCAUAUAUUCUAUUGUUAUAACUAGCCAGCUAAUACUGUUUGUUGUGAGCUGUUCUCUUUGUUUGGAUAGUCGUAAUUAUUACAAGGUUAACCUAAUUAUGCCUGAGAUCCUGAUUCCACACACAUUAUGUUGCUACAUUUUAAAUGCCCGAGACCUACAUGAGGUUCCAUAGUUUGUUGGCUUCUGAUGGGCUAAAAAAAAAUUAUGUUGACAUCGAUAAUUUAGGGGGGGCUAAAAAAAAAUUUUAACUGUUUUUUUCAAGUCAGGGGGGCUCUAGCAUCCCCUAGCCCCCUCUGGUUCCGCCACUGGUGCUAAUUGUUUGUAUCACUGUUACUAACCCUGUUUUGCUGAAAAUUGAAAUUGUAUGCCUGACUUGGAAACAGUAGUUGAACACAAGGUGAUUGAUUAUAUUGCUAUAACAAUUAUAACAUUGAUUUAUAUUUCUUAAUUGCUUAUUAUCAUUUUUUUUAUUUGGUUUUAUAUCUAUUUUCAGUUAUUGAUUCUUUACUAGCCACUAAAAUUCCUAUAAUUUUAGGUUGAUGUUUUUAUGGGAGUAAGAUGAAGGAGGUUUAUUUUGGUGCUGUUUCAGUGACUGAAUUUUGAAUUGCACUUUGAUAUCUGGAUGAUUUACAGGAGUACUCAACAUGGAUGAACAUGAUUUUGAUAUAAUAUACCAAUAUACCAUACAUAUUGUUCGUAAAUUUUUAUUAUUAUCUUGAUAUAAAUGAUUUUGUAUUCAUUUCAUCUUUAAUAUGUAUGUUUGUAAUGAUUUUCAUAUUAUGUAUGUGUAAUAAUACAAUUCCUAUAGAUAUGUUGUCUUCAUCUCACUGCGAAGUGCGGAGCUAAAAAUGCUACUUACAGAACAGAGGAAGAAACUAGAGACUGCUGCCAGCUGAUCGAAUUUCCGGGCCAAACUUUUAUGAAUUUUGCCCUAUGUUAUUUUAAAUGUGCUCCAAAAAUAGUACUCGAUUUCUGGCGUGAAGUAGUACUAUGCAUUGCCAUCUAUUUGGCAUCAUUUUGUGUUCUUUUGGCUUUGAUGUAUAUUUAAUGAUUUUCAG
rnacentral:lncRNA from 1 species